rnacentral:rRNA from 1 species
GACGAACGCUGGCGGCGCGCCUAACACAUGCAAGUCGAACGGAGCUUAGAGAGCUUGCUUUUUAAGCUUAGUGGCGAACGGGUGAGUAACGCGUGAGUAACCUGCCCUAGAGUGGGGGACAACAGUUGGAAACGACUGCUAAUACCGCAUAAGCCCACGGUACCGCAUGGUACUGAGGGAAAAGGAUUUAUUCGCUUUAGGAUGGACUCGCGUCCAAUUAGCUAGUUGGUGAGGUAACGGCCCACCAAGGCGACGAUCGGUAGCUGGUCUGAGAGGAUGAACGGCCACACUGGAACUGAGACACGGUCCAGACUCCUACGGGAGGCAGCAGUGGGGAAGUCUUCCGCAAUGGGCGAAAGCCUGACGGAGCAACGCCGCGUGAGUGAUGACGG